rnacentral:pre_miRNA from 2 species
UCUUAUGAAUGACCAAAGAAAGUGGCUUCUUGAGUUGGAAUCUGCUCCUGGUGAAAAUACUGUGAA